rfam:Oryza glumipatula chromosome 9, whole genome shotgun sequence.
AAUAAACGUUGGGUUUCCAUAUCUAACGUUUGACCGUCCGUGUUAUUUGAAAAAUUAUGAAAAAAAAUUAAAAAGAUAAGUCACGCAUAAAGUAUUAAUCAUGUUUUAUCAUCUAACAAUAAUGAAAAUACUAAUUAUAAAAAAAUUUUAUAUAACACGGAUAGUCAAAUAUUGGAUACGGAAAUCUAGGGUUUAUUUUUUU